AUUCACUCUUCGUUCGUUUUCGGAACACGCGCUUGAUACGUCGUGAGUUUUUCAAUCAUUGUUUUUAUGUGUGCUGUGAAAAAAGUGAAAAUUUCCCGAAAUAAUUAAGAUAAAAAGAAUAAUCCAAAUCAGUAAAAUUGUUAAGCUAAAUUUAUUUAGCAAAGCUUAAAAACACAUUUAAAUAAAUAAAACAAUGGUGGGUUCACGAGUGUAUGUUGGAGGUUUACCAUAUGGUGUAAGAGAACGCGACUUAGAGCGUUUCUUUAAAGGCUAUGGACGAACACGCGAUAUUUUAAUUAAAAAUGGCUACGGUUUUGUGGAAUUUGAAGAUUACCGUGAUGCAGAUGACGCGGUCUAUGAAUUAAAUGGGAAAGAGCUAUUGGGUGAAAGAGUUGUGGUUGAACCUGCCCGUGGUACAGCUCGUGGUAGCCAUAGGGAUCGUUACGACCGCUAUGAUGGUGGUCGUCGUGGUGGCGGACGUUAUAAUGACAAAAAUAAGAACAACAGAUCAAACUCCCGCUAUGGUCCACCAUUGCGUACUGAAUAUCGUCUAAUUGUGGAGAAUUUGUCCAGUCGUGUCAGUUGGCAGUGCGUGUCCUAAAAUAAGAUACAUACAAGUGGUGUUUCAAAUUAGGUGAACAAUAAACAAAUGGGUCAAUUAUGAAGAUGCACUUCAGAACGGAAUAAUCAAUCGUAUUGUGUGUGUGGGUCCUUAUCGCAUCUUCCACAAAUUCUCAAUUAGAUGUGUGACUAUCGUUAUCAAUGCUAAAAAGAAAGGUGUUGGCAAAUUAUAAUACAAAGAAUAUCAAUUAUAACAUUGAUAAAGCUGGUCAGUUAGUCAACCGAACCAUGUAUUCCAAUUGAUGAUUAAACAUUUUCAACACAAAUCGUCGUUCAACGUGCAAAAAUGAUGAUCGAUAGAUGCGUACUUGUUUUAUACUAAGGAAGAACCGAAAUAAGAACUAUUUCUUUUAUUAAAUAGAUAUAGAAGACGUAUUUGUUUUGUCAGAGAUGCCAAUCAUGUUCAGGUUUCUUAACAUACAUAUGUAAAUUAUUAAUUACCUUCGACGCAGAAGAUGCUUACGAAUGACAUCGCAAACUGAUCGCUUUUAAAAUGCUAUGCGUGUACGAACGAGUGUAGAAAAAUCUCAUAAUUCUAAACAUACACAACAAUCUGUAGCCACUUGCUUAUAAAAAAGACAAUUUCAUCAUUGUGAUAUGAGGCCGCGCGGAAGAGAAUUAUACAAAAUACAUAAUAAACAUGAGAUAAAUCCAUACAUCUCAAUCGUUCUAUCUAUAGACGCCUACUCUGACUACCGACAACUUAUAUCGAAAUACGGUGGUCACCAAAAAUGUUGAAGUUGUUUUAUUUAUACGUUUGUGUUUGUGUCUAAGAUUGAGAAUUAAUGAAUGAUACCAUCAAUUUAGGUAUUUCAAAAAUCAAUUUCAUUAAGUUUUAAAACAAAUUUUUAAUAUUUUUGAAAUAUAAAAAUUUAAUUCUAGAAUUCUGAAAGUAUAUUUCGAUUUUAUCUUUUCCGAACACAAGAUUUCGGAGUACUCGAUAGAAGCAGAGGUCCGACCAUUUGUGCGAUUGUGAAAUAAACUAAAUGCGUAUCAUAUAAUAUCAUGUUUGGAAUAAACUUGCGAAUUAUAAAUAAUGAUCGUGCGGGAAUAUCAAUCUAAUCCAAACCGAGCCUGUCGAGUAUUGUACAACAACAAGACAGAUACAAUAAAAAGUUAAAAUGAAGUCUUUCUGACGGCAUAUAAAACAGGCAGGCAAACACUCUUCCCAAGAAGACAAUUUUUGUACAUUGAGAGGGAGCGAGAAAGGAGAGGGAAUAUUUUGGUUAAACCUCGAUGACUGGGAUGACACGAUUCAUUUCUUCCAACUUUUUUUGGCAUAACCAUUCUAAGACAGUUGAUGAAGCGACGACUACUACGAAGCGAGGAAAGCUUAAGCUCUACGUCCUAGUUGAGCAGAUGCUUUAAAGAUGUUUGACCACACGAAUAGACCGGCAUAAUACUCUUACAUAAACUUGUCUCCUUUUAACUAUGAGACAUGUCACAAUUUCUCUCUUUUUCAGUAGUUGCAGUACGUUUUUAAAGCGAACUGAUACAUGACUCUGUUUUCCAGUGAGGUUGGCAAACUAAACUCAUACAUGCAUCGGUCCAUAGGUUCAGGCUUAUAUCAUUCCUCUGGCAAACAAUUUUGGCAGAUGUCAUUGGCUAAUAACUAAUGUCGCCUACUACUACCACCAGCACCACUGUGUUCCCCCUUUUCCAAAAACAAAGACUACUGGAAGUUUGGCAAUAAUAUGUAUUCAGACAGUUCAGAUUUGACAUGGUCUGUGUCGGUUAAAUCGUACAUUCUCCGAUGUUUACAUUCCUCCAGCUCUUGAUUUUUAGUAUUGGUUAUAAUAAAAUGUACAUUUUCUUAAUAUGUGCCCCCCUUAUGAUGAUAAUGAUGAUGAUGAAGUGUGCCCUAAUCGCGAUUUUGUAGUACAGUCAGUUCCUAUGAAAAACACGUGUGCAUCGUUCUUGUGAGGUGUGAAGUGUAUGCGUUACUACAGCUUGAUAAGAUGUGCAACUUUUAUGAGAAAUGGCCGUCUACUUCUAACAACUACCCUUCCACAUCACCUAUACAUACAUAAAAACACGUGCCACAAUGUCAAAAUUGGUCAGUUGAUCGAUCUCCUUCUGGUUCUGGUAGAUUGGUUGGUCCAUAAAAAACGUUCCAAAAACAGACGUCUCGUCUUCUAUGACCUUAAAGAUUAUAUGCGCCAAGCCGGUGAAGUAACCUAUGCUGAUGCCCAUAAGCAAAGAAGAAAUGAGGGAGUUGUGGAGUUUGCUUCAUUGUCUGAUAUGAAGACUGCUAUUGAAAAAUUGGAUGAUACUGACU
rnacentral:misc_RNA from 1 species